UCUGGAGGCUUACAUUUUGCUUAGAAAUAAGGAACAGGGAUUAAUUAUGAAUGUUGCUGAAAUCUUGCUGCCUCAACCUACAACGUAGUUUAAGUGAAGAAGACAUUGGCAUCAAGAACAGUGGGCCAAGAAAUCCUUGCUGUGUUCCUGGUCUAAAGUCUCUCAGUGCAUCUCACAGCCAUCUCUCUGCAUUUGAAUCCAGGUAUCACUGCAUCUUGAAAUUACAGAAGAAAAACCCCAAACAAUAAUAAGACAAAGUGAAGAAUAAAG
rnacentral:lncRNA from 1 species